CAGGAUUCAGUGUGGGCUCUGCUCAGAACUCAGAAAUCCAGUUAAAAGGACACAAUUGGAAACACUGGUUAUUUUACCAGUGUCUUGACUUGAAUGGGGUACUUUCAGAUACAGACUCCUUUAAGGAAUUAAAGUUAACUUAUACAGCCAAUAAAAGCCCCUGGGGAAAACUGGCAUAAUACCUUGUCUAGGCAGCCCUGUACAGACUCCUGACCUAUGGUAAGUAAAGAAUGUCACUUUCUAACAAGCCCAAGAGCCCCAAGUUUUCCUGCACCCUAAAAGUGAGGAAUUCACUCAGCUAAUACAGGUAUUUGUAGGCACAGAAUGGGCUUAAGGCAUUAAAGUCAAAUCUGAGAUCCUUUAUGGAAUUAAGUUGCAACAAAGCCAAAAAAAAAAAAAAAAAAAGAAGAAGGAGCCUGUAUGGCAAAUAAUUAUUUUUUCUCACUUUAUGAAAAUACUCAGGCCAAGUAUCAUAAGACUAAAACUUAUCUUCCAAAUGAAUUUGUACUAUAAUUAGUCUUUACUGAAAAUGGGGACUGGAGAGAGAAAAAUUGUGUUUCAAAAUCAACUAUAGUACACCUGUUAUUAGCUUCUCGUCUUGCAUAAGGCUUUUCAAUUUUUAUUAUUUUCUACAGUUUGGACUAAAUUCUGAAACUUUUUGUGGUUACAAGUCCCCAGUAUAAUGUUUUCCAUUUCUUUUCCUUCUUUCUUUUACUUUUAAAUUUUUUUUCUGAUUUUAAAUCACUGAAAACUAAGCUGAGCUUUCUUAAAGCCUUGCAAACUGAAGUUAGGCAAAUUAAACUUCAGAAGAAAAUAAAAGCAACUUGUUUACAUACGUAAGCCACUCUCAUACCUGCCUACUGAUAUAUGAACUUCAGAGUUAUAUGGCCUACAUUGAUUUUCCAGAAUUUUUAUAUUUUCAUUUGUUGUUGUUUUUCACCUUCCUCCCACUAUUUGCUCUUCACAGGAUGUGAGACUUCACAACCUUCUAAAAAUGAGUUUUCCUAACAACAUGGGACCUACCCUUCUAGGAAUAAACCAUCCUAGCCAUGAGAAAUCAGAUGAAAACUGGGACCAGAGACUCUUUUUCUUCUAAAAUGCUUUUUCUGAAAGAUUUUAAAAAGAAAAGAAGGGAAAUGUGAAAGGAAAAUAAAAUUUUAGACCCCAACACCACUAAGCUAAAGGGAAAAGUCAAGCUGGGAGCUGCUUAGGGCAAAUCUGCCUCCCAUUCUAUUAAAAGUCAUUCCUCUGCUUACUGAGAUAAAUGCACAUCUGAUUGCUUCCUUUGGAGAGGCCAAUCAGCAACUCAAAAGAAUGUAACCAUUUGUCUCUUAUCUACCUAUGACCUGGAAGACCCCUCCCCACUUUGAGUUGUCCCACCUUUCCAGAUGAAUCCAAUGUACAUCUUAAAUAUAUUAAUUGAUGUCUCAUGUCUCCCUAAAAUGUAUAAAAUGAAGCUGUGCCCAGACCACCUUGGGCACAUAUCAUCAGGGCCCCCUGAGGCUCUGUCACAGGUGCAUUCUUAUCCUUGGCAAAAUAAACUUUUUAAAUUGACUGAGUCCUGUCUUAGAUAUUUUGGGUUAACAGACAAAAUAACCAACUUUGCUUCCAUUCUUAAACAAUACUAAGUUUUGCAGAUACAAAACAUUUGUAAUAGUCAAGUGUUUUUAUAAAUACUAAUAUAUUAUUUAAAGACCUAUAAGCAUCUUAUAUAUUUUAAAAAAUGAUAGUAAUUACUGAGAAAAAGAAAAUAAAAUUACAAAAUUGCAGAUAAUAGAUCAAUAAAGAAACUUUUCAAACCACGAUAAUGUAGUUCAACCUUCUUAUUUUUAAUAUGAGAAACCAAAACACAGGGAGAUUGACUAUUACAGGUUUACAAGGUUUUCUAGCUCCCAGUUUAGUGCUCUUUCUUUUCUGUUAGCUUGCCUUCAAAUUCUAAACGUUUAGAUGUUUUUAAACUAUACAUAUUCUGAGUUAUUCAAUUCAGAAAUAACAGACACAAUUUCUUUAAAAUAACUCCAACAUUUGAAAUCUACAUAUUAUAAGAGACCAGAAUAUGCCAUUCCAAAAUGUGACUGUAGAAGACUGGAAUAUAUCACAUCAAAAUAUGUCUCUUUAGCAUAGGAUUAUGUGCUGAUUAUUUUGAGAAA
rnacentral:lncRNA from 1 species